rnacentral:rRNA from 1 species
AAGGUUUCCGUAGGUGAACCUGCGGAAGGAUCAUUAGUGAAUAAACAAGUGUGGGUUGUGCUGACCUUCUGGUAUGUGCACGCCUGCCAAUGUUUUAUUUCCUUCUUCCCACCUGUGCACUUUGUGUAGACCAAGUAUGCUAUUUUCAGGCCUUCUAAGGCUUGGUUUGGAGGGGUUGCUUGUUUGUAAUGAAUGGGCUCCUCUUGGGUAUGCAGGGUCUAUGUUUUAUACCAACUCCAGUUGAAUGUAACAGAAUGUGUAAUGGGCCUUUGGCCUUUAAACCAUAUAUACAACUUUCAACAACGGAUCUCUUGGCUCUCGCAUCGAUGAAGAACGCAGCGAAAUGCGAUAAGUAAUGUGAAUUGCAGAAUUCAGUGAAUCAUCGAAUCUUUGAACGCACCUUGCGCUCCUUGGCAUUCCGAGGAGCAUGCCUGUUUGAGUGUCAUUAAAUUCUCAACCCCUUCAGUAUUGUUGGGUGCUUGGAUUAUGGGAGCCUGCUGGCAUUGUCAGCUCUCCUCAAAAGUAUUAGCAGGGCAAUCUGCCUUCUGUGCUUGGUAUGAUAUUAUCUAUACCUUGCUACAGUUGUGCACAUCUGCUUCUAACCGUCCACACUUGGACAAUCUACUUUGACCAUUUGACCUCAAAUCAGGUAGGACUACCCGCUGAACUUAAGCAUAUC